GACAGCUCAGUUGGUUAGAGCAUGGUGCCGAUAAUGCCAAGGUUGCAGGUUCGAGUCCCAUAAGGGACA